rnacentral:rRNA from 1 species
UACGGAGGAUGCGAGCGUUAUCCGGAUUUAUUGGGUUUAAAGGGUGCGUAGGCGGACUGUCAAGUCAGCGGUAAAAUUGAGAGGCUCAACCUCUUCCCGCCGUUGAAACUGGUGGUCUUGAGUGGAUGAGAAGUAUGCGGAAUGCGUGGUGUAGCGGUGAAAUGCAUAGAUAUCACGCAGAACUCCGAUUGCGAAGGCAGCAUACCGGCGCCCAACUGACGCUGAAGCACGAAAGCGUGGGUAUCGAACAGG